rnacentral:RNase_P_RNA from 1 species
CAGAUGAUCGCAUCGCAAGAUGAGGAAAGUCCGAGCAUCAUAGGGCAAGGUGCUGGCUAAUUACCAGUGAAGGCGACUUCAAGGAAAGUGCAACAGAAAUAAACCGCACAGAGAUGUGUAAGGAUGGAAAGGCGAGGUAAGAGCUCACCACGGUCUAGGUGACUAGACUGGUUAUGUAAACCCCACCCGAUGCAAGAGACAAUGACAUAUCGGUAGCCCGCCGGUCAGACAAUCGCUUGAGGUUAUUGGCAACAAUAAUCCUAGACAGAUGAUCAUCCAAUACAGAACUCGGCUUAUAGGUCAAUCU